GGCCUUUAGCCCCCCAAGUAUUAAAGGUCCGACCUGCCCAGUGAGAAAUUUUAAACGGCCGCGGUACCCUAACCGUGCAAAGGUAGCACAAUCACUUGCCCCCUAAAUGAGGGCUAGUAUGAAUGGUUUCAUGAGGGUUUAACUGUCUUCUAGGACCAAUCAAUGAACCUGAUAACCCAGUACAAACGCUGAAAUAUACCCACAAGACAAGAAGACCCUGUGGAACUUUUAAGUAUACCAUUGACCCUAAUUUUAUACAGGCUCUCAACAAUCAACUUAAGUUGGGGCAACUACGGGGUAAAACCAAACCCCCAUGAAAUAUGACUAGCUAUUAUACAUUAGGCCCACACGCCACAUAUGUAUUGUUUGACCCAGUUCACACUGAUCAUCGAACCAAGCUACCCCAGGGAUAACAGCGCUAUCCCCUUAAAGAGUCCCUAUCGCCAAGGGGGUUUACGACCUCGAUGUUGGAUCAGGACACCCAGGCGGUGCAGCCGCUGCCAAAGGUUCGUUUGUUCAACGAAUAAAGUCCU
rnacentral:rRNA from 1 species